AGGCAGCAGUGGGGAAUUUUGGACAAUGGGGGCAACCCUGAUCCAGCCAUGCCGCGUGAGUGAAGAAGGCCUUCGGGUUGUAAAGCUCUUUCGGCCGGGAAGAAAUCGCAUGGGUUAAUACCCUGUGCGGAUGACGGUACCGGCAUAAGAAGCACCGGCUAACUACGUGCCAGCAGCCGCGGUAAUACGUAGGGUGCGAGCGUUAAUCGGAAUUACUGGGCGUAAAGCGUGCGCAGGCGGUUUUGUAAGACAGGCGUGAAAUCCCCGGGCUCAACCUGGGAACUGCGCUUGUGACUGCAAGGCUAGAGUAUGGCAGAGGGGGGUGGAAUUCCACGUGUAGCAGUGAAAUGCGUAGAGAUGUGGAGGAACACCAAUGGCGAAGGCAGCCCCCUGGGCCAAUACUGACGCUCAUGCACGAAAGCGUGGGUAGCAAACAGGAUUAGAUACCCUGGUAGUCCACGCCCUAAACGAUGUCAACUAGGUGUUGGGUGGGUAAAACCAUUUAGUACCGGAGCUAACGCGUGAAGUUGACCGCCUGGGGAGUACGGCCGCAAGGUUAAAACUCAAAGGAAUUGACGGGGACCCGCACAAGCGGUGGAUGAUGUGGAUUAAUUCGAUGCAACGCGAAAAACCUUACCUACCCUUGACAUGUCCAGGAGCCUGAAGAGAUUUGGGUGUGCCCGAAAGGGAACUGGAACACAGGUGCUGCAUGGCUGUCGUCAGCUCGUGUCGUGAGAUGUUGGGUUAAGUCCCGCAACGAGCGCAACCC
rnacentral:rRNA from 1 species